rnacentral:rRNA from 1 species
CCUACGGGGGGCUGCAGUGGGGAAUAUUGCGCAAUGGGCGGAAGCCUGACGCAGCGACGCCGCGUGAGGGAUGACGGCCUUCGGGUUGUAAACCUCUUUCAGCACCGACGAAGCUAGCGUGACGGUAGGUGCAGAAGAAGCGCCGGCUAACUACGUGCCAGCAGCCGCGGUAAUACGUAGGGCGCAAGCGUUGUCCGGAAUUAUUGGGCGUAAAGAGCUCGUAGGCGGUCUGUUGCGUCCGUCGUGAAAGCCCACGGCUUAACUGUGGGUCUGCGGUGGAUACGGGCAGGCUAGAGGCAGGUAGGGGAGCAUGGAAUUCCCGGUGUAGCGGUGAAAUGCGCAGAUAUCGGGAGGAACACCGGUGGCGAAGGCGGUGCUCUGGGCCUGUACUGACGCUGAGGAGCGAAAGCGUGGGGAGCGAACAGGAUUAGAUACCCGAG